rnacentral:rRNA from 1 species
AAGUCGAACGAAGUAGCAAUACUUAGUGGCAGACGGGUGAGUAACAUGUGGGUAUCUACCCUUUGGCCUGGAAUAACACGAGGAAACUUGUGCUAAUACCGGAUAAGUCUUUACGGAGAAAGCUUUAUGCACCAUUGGAUGAGCCUGCACUUGAUUAGUUUGUUGGUGGGGUAAUGGCCUACCAAGACUUUGAUCAAUAGCUGAUUUGAGAGGAUGAUCAGCCACAUUGGGACUGAGACACGGCCCAAACUCCUACGGGAGGCAGCAGUGGGGAAUCUUGCACAAUGGAGGAAACUCUGAUGCAGCGAUGCCGCGUGAGUGAAGAAGGCCUUUGGGUUGUAAAGCUCUUUCGUCGGGGAAGAAAAUGACUGUACCCGAAUAAGAAGGUCCGGCUAACUUCGUGCCAGCAGCCGCGGUAAUACGAAGGGACCUAGCGUAGUUCGGAAUUACUGGGCUUAAAGAGUUCGUAGGUGGUUGAAAAAGUUGGUGGUGAAAUCCCAGAGCUUAACUCUGGAACUGCCAUCAAAACUUUUCAGCUAGAGUUUGAUAGAGGAAAGCAGAAUUUCUAGUGUAGAGGUGAAAUUCGUAGAUAUUAGAAAGAAUACCAAUUGCGAAGGCAGCUUUCUGGAUCAUUACUGACACUGAGGAACGAAAGCAUGGGUAGCGAAGAGGAUUAGAUACCCUCGUAGUCCAUGCCGUAAACGAUGUGUGUUAGACGUUGGAUAUUUAUUUUCAGUGUCGCAGCGAAAGCGAUAAACACACCGCCUGGGGAGUACGACCGCAAGGUUAAAACUCAAAUGAAUUGACGGGGACCCGCACAAGUAGUGGAGCAUGUGGUUUAAUUCGAAGAUACGCGCAGAACCUUACCAACACUUGACAUGUUCGUCGCGACUUUAAGAGAUUAAAGUUUUCGGUUCGGCCGGACGAAACACAGGUGCUGCAUGGCUGUCGUCAGCUCGUGUCGUGAGAUGUUGGGUUAAGUCCCGC